rnacentral:pre_miRNA from 1 species
GGGGGGAGCGCCGGAUUCUGGGCUGUGUUCCCCGGGGCCCUGGGCUCCGGGGCCUGCACCGCUGGAAUCCCGCUCCUGGGGCUGCGCAGCCCCCU